ensembl:lncRNA novel transcript, antisense to ZNF281
CAGGAACCAGGGGAAACAAAACCAAUUCCACCCAGAGGUAAAUAAAAAUCAAAGAGCGUUCGAGGCAGCCGCAUUGACUCACCUUGCAGACAAGCAAGCAGAGCCGCAGAGCAGUGACCCGUGCCCAGCGCCUCGCAGCUAGAGCUGGAUUGGAAUCCAGGGCUUUGCAGGCUUCCUGCUUCACUCAAUCCUCUUUCUGUUGCCUCUGGCCUCAAGGUGUUGGCCUGGGAGGAAGUAGCAGAUUAAAUUCCAUGGGCACGAAGUCCGUAGCUGACGAAUACUUAAUAUGUUGCAGUUUCACAGUGAAAGUUGGCAAGUCCAGGGUGGGAACAUGCCCCAAGCAGCUGAGUCUUCUGGAUUUUACUUCUGUUCUUUGCCUCUCAAUUUUUGAUUUUGUUAUAUAAAAAGCAAAUCAGUAACUAUUGCAUUAUAUUCUGCAGUGACUCAACAGCGACACUUAAUUCAGCCAACCAAGGUUUACUGAACUGCUCGUGGUGCCGGGAACCGUGCUGGGAUAGGAUACAGGGACCAACCAGUCCUGAUCAUUAGCUUAGCCAGAGAGGUAAACUGACUGACAAUCAAUCUGCCAGGGAUCAAUUACUAUGGAAGCUCAUAGUGUGGGCCCCUAACCCAGACUGUGGGUCUGAGGAGGUCUCCUGGAGGUAGUGCUAUCCUAACAGAGACCUGAAGGGUACUUGGAAUCCAGCCACAGAAUACUAUUUACCAUCUCAUUUUACUC